UCCCUGGUAGUAUAUCGGUUAGUACACGCGCCUGUCAUUUGACAACCGUCAUCACAAGAUGCUUUCGCGCGAAAGCUGGGUUCGACUCCCAGCCAGGGAG